UGGGGAAUAUUGGACAAUGGGCGAAAGCCUGAUCCAGCCAUGCCGCGUGAGUGACGAAGGCCUUAGGGUUGUAAAACUCUUUCGUCGGGGACGAUAAUGACGGUACCUGGAGAAUAAGCCCCGGCAAACUUCGUGCCAGCAGCCGCGGUAAUACGAAGGGGGCUAGCGUUGUUCGGAAUUACUGGGCGUAAAGCGCACGUAGGCGGAUUGUUAAGUCAGAGGUGAAAUCCCGGAGCUCAACUUCGGAACUGCCUUUGAUACUGGCAAUCUAGAGUCCGGAAGAGGUUAGUGGAAUUCCCAGUGUAGAGGUGAAAUUCGUAGAUAUUGGGAAGAACACCAGUGGCGAAGGCGGCUAACUGGUCCGGUACUGACGCUGAGGUGCGAAAGCGUGGGGAGCAAACAGGAUUAGAUACCCACGUAGUCCCUGAGCGGGCUGGCAAGGCGCAU
rnacentral:rRNA from 1 species